UCCUACGGGAGGCAGCAGUGGGGAAUAUUGGACAAUGGACCACAAGUCUGAUCCAGCAAUUCUGUGUGCACGAUGACGUUUUUCGGAAUGUAAAGUGCUUUCAGUCGGGAAGAAGUCAGUGACGGUACCGACAGAAGAGGCGACGGCUAAAUACGUGCCAGCAGCCGCGGUAAUACGUAUGUCGCAAGCGUUAUCCGGAUUUAUUGGGCGUAAAGCGCGUCUAGGCGGCAAGGAAAGUCUGAUGUGAAAAUGCGGAGCUCAACUCCGUAUGGCGUUGGAAACUGCCUUACUAGAGUACUGGAGAGGUAGGCGGAACUACAAGUGUAGAGGUGAAAUUCGUAGAUAUUUGUAGGAAUGCCGAUGGGGAGGCCAGCCUACUGGACAGAUACUGACGCUAAAGCGCGAAAGCGUGGGUAGCAAACAGGAUUAGAUACCCUGGUAGUCC
rnacentral:rRNA from 1 species